GACGAACGCUGGCGGCGUGCUUAACACAUGCAAGUGGUGCGACGAACCAGGCUUCGGCCUGGGGCGAAGCCGCGAACGGGUGAGUAACACGUGGGCAAUCUACCCCUUUGAUCGGGACAACCCGGGGAAACCCGGGCUAAUACCGAAUGAGGUGGCGACUCAUGAGAGUCGUCACGAAAGGAAGCUUCGGCCUCCGCGAAGGGAUGAGCCCGCGGCCCAUUAGCUUGUUGGUGGGGUAAUGGCCUACCAAGGCAACGAUGGGUAGCUGGUCUGAGAGGACGAUCAGCCACACUGGGACUGAGACACGGCCCAGACUCCUACGGGGGGCUGCGGUGGGGAAUCUUGCGCAAUGGGCGACAGCUUGACGCAGCAACGCCGCGUGAGGGAAGAAGGCUUUCGGGUCGUAAACCUCUUUCAGUUAGGACGAAGCUUUAUUGGUUAAUAACCAAUUGGAGUGACGGUACUUUCAGAAGAAGCCCCGGCUAACUACGUGCCAGCCGCCGCCGUAA
rnacentral:rRNA from 1 species